rnacentral:rRNA from 1 species
UACAGAGGGGGCAAGCGUUGUUCGGAAUUACUGGGCGUAAAGGGCGCGUAGGCGGCCUGCUAAGUCGAACGUGAAAUCCCUGGGCUCAACCCAGGAACUGCGUCCGAUACUGGUUGGCUUGAAUCCGGGAGAGGGACGUGGAAUUCCAGGUGUAGCGGUGAAAUGCGUAGAUAUCUGGAGGAACACCGGUGGCGAAGGCGGCAUCCUGGACCGGUAUUGACGCUGAGGCGCGAAAGCUAGGGGAGCAAACGGG